UACGGAGGAUGCAAGCGUUAUCCGGAAUCAUUGGGCGUAAAGAGUUCGUAGGUGGUUUAGCAAGUCUGUCGUUAAAUGUUGGGGCUUAACCCCAGAAAGGCGAUGGAAACUGUUAGGCUUGAGUACGGUAGGGGUAGAGGGAAUUCCCGGUGUAGCGGUGAAAUGCGUAGAUAUCGGGAAGAACACCAAUGGCGAAAGCACUCUACUGGGCCGUAACUGACACUGAGGAACGAAAGCUAGGGGAGCAAAUGGG
rnacentral:rRNA from 1 species